AAGGUCUUCGGUGACUGACGGAAUUGUGGGACUAACCACAAGGGAGCCGGAGAUUUGAUGAGUCGACCGUCUGGGCAGUAUUU
ncrna:unclassified sequences ZMP/ZTP riboswitch